rnacentral:rRNA from 1 species
UGGGGAAUUUUGGACAAUGGGCGAAAGCCUGAUCCAGCAAUGCCGCGUGUGUGAAGAAGGCCUUCGGGUUGUAAAGCACUUUUGUCCGGAAAGAAAUCCUUGGCUCUAAUACAGUCGGGGGAUGACGGUACCGGAAGAAUAAGCACCGGCUAACUACGUGCCAGCAGCCGCGGUAAUACGUAGGGUGCAAGCGUUAAUCGGAAUUACUGGGCGUAAAGCGUGCGCAGGCGGUUUGCUAAGACCGAUGUGAAAUCCCCGGGCUCAACCUGGGAACUGCAUUGGUGACUGGCAGGCUAGAGUAUGGCAGAGGGGGGUAGAAUUCCACGUGUAGCAGUGAAAUGCGUAGAGAUGUGGAGGAAUACCGAUGGCGAAGGCAGCCCCCUGGGCCAAUACUGACGCUCAUGCACGAAAGCGUGGGGGAGCAAACAGGAUUAGAUACCCUGGUAGUCCACGCCCUAAACGAUGUCAACUAGUUGUUGGGGAUUCAUUUCCUUAGUAACGUAGCUAACGCGUGAAGUUGACCGCCUGGGGAGUACGGUCGCAAGAUUAAAACUUAAAGGAAUUGACGGGGUCAUAGCUGUUUCC